UACGAAGGGGGCUAGCGUUGCUCGGAAUUACUGGGCGUAAAGCGCACGUAGGCGGCUUCUUAAGUCGGUGGUGAAAUCCUGGAGCUCAACUCCAGAACUGCCUUCGAUACUGGGAAGCUCGAGUCCGGGAGAGGUGAGUGGAACUGCGAGUGUAGAGGUGAAAUUCGUAGAUAUUCGCAAGAACACCAGUGGCGAAGGCGACUCACUGGACACGUAUUGACGCUGAGGUGCGAAAGCGUGGGGAGCAAACAGG
rnacentral:rRNA from 1 species